rnacentral:sRNA from 1 species
CCUAUGACAUGGCCGUAUGGGAGUGAUGACGAUGA